CAAAACAUAACAAAUUAGUUUGUUUUUUAAUUUGGUGUUCGCAAAUAUUCUUUUUAUUCUUUCGCACGAAGAUUCUAGAGAUUCUGAGAACAUUCUAGUUUAUUAUGUUUCCAUGUAUGUCCGUAAAAUAAAAAUUCUUUGUUUCGUACAUAAACUUAAAUGUUCUCAAAACGACUAAAAAACCUGGCCAGUUUUACGCAACUAAAUAUAAUUUCCGUGGUCAGUAUUCGAGAGCGAUCGCUCCCGCUUCCCGACCAAGCCUGCCCAAUUUAUGAAAACCAUAUCUUUACUCUUGAUAAAUUACUUGCUAAGUGCUACUGCAAAAUAAGGUUGCAUCAGCUUGGAAAAUUAGAAUUAGCAAAAGUUUCUGGAGUAAAUGUCAGGAAGACUCUUAGCAAAAUGGUCUUAUUCAAAAAUCAAUGAAAGUAUUAAUCACAUAGAGAAUUUAUGUAUCAUAGUUUUGACGAUUAUCUUCGUAUGAUGUUUUUUGAUAUUCAUUUUUGUACUAUUGCUAUUUGAGUUUCUAUUUUUUUAAGAUAACAAUUUUAAAAUAACAAUUUUUAAACAUGACUUUUGGUUGUUUAUAUACGUAAACAAAAUAAAAAAUAAAAAAAACUGUAAUACAUUUAUCUUUAUAUUAAUUAGGUAGGGCAGCUGCAUGUUUUUUAUGACCUUUUUUUAUUUAUACCAUCUAUAUCUUUAAAUCUUUCAUGUAGAUUGCAUGAAACAACUUAGUUACAACUUAAAAACUUAGUGCUUAUUAAAAUUAGAACUUUUUCAAACUUUUUAUAAGUGCGAUAAAAGUUUGUGAAGCAACAGAACUAAAAAUUGUUAGUAUGUGAUCAUCAAUAUCAAUUAAGCAUUGUAAAAUUGAUAUUACUUUUGCAGUCGUGGAAGAAAUCAACAUAUCCUCAGAUUUUCAAAAACUCUGAAAACCAUUUAAAAAAGUUUUUGAUACAAUAUUUUUUUGGCAUGUUUUAUACUUGUAAAGUUACUUUCUCACUGCUAUUAUAAAGUAAGAUUGCAUCAAGUUGUAACAAUAAACAUCCUAAAAUAACCAGAGUAAAUAUUAAAUUAAUUUUUAGCAAAGUAGUUUCAUUUUGAACAUAAGAAAAUUAAUAAAAGUAACAAAUUCAUACAAAACAAUCUGUUCUUUAUAGCGGUAUUUCCUUUUAACUCUAAUUUUUUUUGUGCUUUUUUUUUUUUAAUUUUUAAACUUUCUAACAUUUUUUUAUAUAACAAUAUCAUUGAAAUAUGCAACUUUGGUUGAAUAUAAAUGAAGUAGAAAACUUUGGUUGAAUAUAAAUAAAGUAGAAAGUAAAACAUAAACAAAUCUUCAAGUGCAAUCUCUGUAUUUUCAAAUUCCAGCGUUCUGGGGCUUUCCAAUAUGGCGAUUUUGGCGUCAAUUUUGAUAUUAGAGAUGCGCUAUCCAGUUAUUAUAGAGAUCAGUGAUGGAUACAAUCAUAAAAUGCUAGUCAAGCGUAAUAUAAAAUUGAAAAUGUAGUUUUGAUACUAAAUAUUGCAAAAACUGAAUGUUUGAAUAAUCAUAAAUGUUUUGUAUUUUUCACUUAUAGUAAGUUAAGCUAUAGUAAGUCAAUUUUAUUGUAUUAUUAUAUGAUAUCAUUUAGUCAUAUAUAGUAUGUGUAUUUACAAAGUUAUAAAAAAGCUAUCAAAUUUUUUUGGUAAUACGUUUUUUAUUUAUAUUAUUUUUGUGCUUUUUAACUUUAUUAAAUUUAUUAAAGAGGUUCAAUAGUAUCUAUGUUUUGUUUUUAGAUUUAAUUUGUGUUGAUUUAUGAUUAACAAUAGAAAGUAUAAUACUUCAACAAAUGUUAGUUUUUUACACAUAAAAGUUAUGAAAAAUCUCCUAUGAAAUGGUUCAUCUAAAUCUAAUUCCCUGCAGGAUGCCUGUUAAAAAGAAAAACUGAAAAAACUUUAAAACUAGAUGAUGGCAACAGAAGAAGUUGAAACACUGUUAUUCAUGGUGUCAUAUCGAGGCUUCAGUUCUCCAUGUUGGUUAGUUAUAUGGAAUAUAUGGCAUGGUAUGGCACACUGCAUGAUUAGUGUAAAAGUGGAUGAACGCACUAAAGAAGCGUAACGAUAAACUUUAAAGCAGAAUUUUGUCAUGCGAUUAUGGUGGCGAUAUGAGAGAACUAAUGUGGCAUAAUGUGGUAUAAUAAUAUAUAAUAUAAUAAUAUAAUGUGGUAAUAUAAUGUGGUAUAUUAUUAUCGUAAAACAAUUUUGGAUCAAAUCAAUAUAUAAUAUUAGUUUUUUUGUUGCUUAAAAGUAUUAUGAAAUUCAAAUCUGUUUUUUCAAUCGAUUCGUAAAAAUUAUGUCAGACCAAUUAUAUAUUUGCCUAAUACAUUUUAUAGCCCUGACAGCGAAAUAAUUAUAGAUCAUAUAAAUAACCUUUACUUUUUAGUUUAAUAUAAAAAAAUGCGACGCUUUUUAAUCAAAAAAUUGUCACAU
rnacentral:lncRNA from 1 species